AGUCUUCUUGAGUAACGGUUUUAUCACUGCCUCUUUCAAUGCAGCAGGAACCAUACCAGAUCUAAAAGACACAUUAAUAAUCUCCUGGACCCAGCCAGUCAUCCUUUCCCAGCUAGAUUUAAUAAGCCAUGAAAGGCAGGGGUCAAGUGAGCAUGUGGUUGGUCACACUCCUCCAAGCACCUUGUCCACAUCCUCAAUCUGCAGUAGCUGAAAUAGAUCCAGAGAAAAAAGACUGGGUGGUGCACUCAAAACAUUCUGUGCCCCACUUACACAGCAACCAUAGUACAGAUCCAACAGGAUGCGGGCGAUCUUAUUUGCAAAAUGCUUUGCAAACAGAUCGCAGUGGGAGGCCAAAAGUUCCUCUAUUUCAUCAUGAGAGCCAGACUGCAACAGGCCCCGCACUACUCAAAACAAUUCCGCUGGACAGCAUUGUGCGGAUGGGAUAUGGGUGGAGAAGAAGCUUUUCUUCACUGUCAGCACCGCCACAGGGUAAGCUCGCAGUUCACCUCUAACCGCAGUCGAUCAGACUCAGCUCUAGUUCUCCUCCAGCGGUGUUCUAGCCAUCACACAGACUGUUUUGCUCCCAUCAGCUCCCCAGAAAACCAGGGAGCAAACCUGGCUUGACUGGUCUGAAGAGGGCACUUAGGAGCAAUCAUAUCAACUGCCCGGGUUUGUUGGUGUUCCAUGUAUCAACUAGGGUAUCUACAGGACCAUUUGCCAUAAUGGCUGAACAAUCCCUCAGGGACCUCAGAAAACCCUCCGGAUCCAUCAGCCUCUGAGGGUGGAUCAUCUUAAUUGGUCCUCUGCCUCAGUGGAGGUGAAGGUCAGCAGAUAGUCUAAACUUGACCAGGUAGUGAUCAGUCCAUAACAAAGGGAGUGUAGCCACAACCCUUAUCCCAAGAAGUCUAUCACCCUUAGUCCAAAAAACCAAAUCGAGUGUAUGACCUGCAACAUGUAUUGGGUCAGUUAUUUCUUGGGAUAAUUCUAGUGUGGUCAUGGUAUCCAUAAAAUCUCAGGCCGGACCAGACAGACCAGCCUCAGUGUGGAUAUUAAAGUCCCCCAAGACCAAAAGCCUCGGCAUCCUCAAUGCCAUGUCCAACACCACGAUGGCCAGCUCGAGCAGAGUAUCUGCCAUAUAGCGAGGUGGAUAGUACACAAGCAGCAUACCCAACCUAUCCCGGACACCCAACAUCAAGUACAGACACUCGAAUCUGACACUUUGUUGGACCACAUCCCUAGCCAGUGAGAUAAUAUCUUGAUAGACAAUUACCACCUCUCCCCCCCAACCAUUAAGCUGCGGCUGAUGCUGUACUGAGAACCCAGCUGGGCACAACUGGGAAAGGUCGACACCUCCCUCCACUCUCAGCCAGGUCUCAGUGAUACAAGCCAGGUCAGCCCCUUCACUCAGAAUUAAAGCAUGGAUGACAGCUGUCUUCUGGGAUACUGACCUGGUAUUCAGCAACAGCACCCUCAGGGCUGAUGGCCAGGUAUUAAAGUUCCCAAAAUUUGUAAGGCUGGGAACAGGACCAGAAAAAGGAAUAGCACACAACUGUCUAAACCUCAUUCCCCUUGGCUGGCCAGUCCAGAUCAUACUUCCAUAUCUUCCCCUGCCUGUCACAACUUCCAUGAUGCCAUCUGAGCCCUCCUCCUUAGGCACUCCAUCUGUGCCAAAUCACAUAGGUGGGGAGCAGAACAAACACACACCUUCAGUUUGGGUAGCUAAAGGGAAUUUCCUCUCACCAAGAACCCUCGCCUGCCCUCCCUCUCCCUACUCUCACCAGGGACUGAAUAGGCCACCACACAACCAAGUGUGCUGCACACACAAACACACAUAAACACACACUCAAUUAUAAUCUACCAUAACAGCACACACCUUUGCCCUUAGUCCACAUCCGAAGGGCUCCCCCAAAAGGGCAGCCCCCUUUGGACUGCCCUUUCAGGGCGGCCCGCUGGCAGCAGCCCGCCGCCAGGGGCGGCCUCCUGGCUUUAAGGCCGCCCCUGAUAAUGGCUGCAGGCAACACCUGCAGCUGAAAGGUCUGAGUCCUAAUGGACAGGCCUCUCACUCAGGAGCUAGGGUGGUAACAGCUGUGCAGCAACAGCCCUGCCUUCUGAGGUUAAUAGAACCUUACAGGCUAUGUUAAGAAAAUGUGUGGGCAUAGAUCCGAGAGACUGGGACAUCUUUCUACCUGCCCUCCUGUUUGCAGUUAGGGAAGUAUCUGAAGCAUCCACUGGCUUCUCCCCCUUUGAGUUAUUAUAUGGGAGACAGCCCCAGGAAAUCCUGGAUCUACUAAUUGGAAGGGGCAAGAUUCGCAGGUAAAAGGGAUGAUCCCGUACAUCCUGGAUCUCAGAAAAAAGUUGCGGGUGGUGGGAGAGUUAGCUAAAGGAAACCUGUUAUGGGCCCAAUAUUAUAACUGGGGUAUGAAACUCUGUACAUUUGCACUGGGAGAUAAAGUCUUACCCUCCACCGAAUCAAAGCUGAUGGCAAAAUGGCAAGGCCCAUAUGAGGUCCUCAGACAGGUGGGACCCAUGGACUACAAAAUUAAAUUAACAGGUAGACAGAAAAACACACAGAUCUACCAUGUGAAUUUAUUUUAAAAAUGGAAGCCGCGAGAGGACAUGUUGAUAACACUACAACCUUCCGAGCCCAAACUAGGACAAAGGGGAGGGGGCCUGCAGGCACUGGGAGAGGUCUCCCAAGAAGCAGACCUGACAGCCCAGAAGAAGGAGGAGGUGAGAGCCCUUCUACAGAAAUUUACAACUGUCCUCUCGACACAACCGGGGACGACACCCCUUCUGAACCACCAUAUUAAAAUGGCUCCUGGACAAAAGGUAUGUGAACCCCUCCAACCCUUACCAAGGAAACUGUGGGACCCAGUGCAGGAGGAAAUCCAAAAGAUGAUGCAGAUGGGGGUGAUCUGGGAGUCACGAAGCGAAUGGUGGAGCCGUGUUAUCCCAGGAACAAGGGGGAGGGAGCACUCCGUUUUAUAUAUAAGCCACAAACUAAUGCCAUGGGAACAGCUCUAUUCCACUAUAGAAAAGGAAGCUUUAGCGGUCAAAUGGGCAGUAGAAUCCCUCUGGUACUUCCUGCUGGGGAAUUCCUUCCAGUUGUAACCAACCAUGCACCGUUAAAGUGGAUCCAAACCAUGAAAGAGACCAUCCCACGCAUAAUGAGGUGGCAUUUAUUUUUACAACAAUAUACAUUUCAAGUUUUGCAUAGGCCGGGGCUGACUCAUGGGAAAGCAGAUUUCCUGUCUCGGUGUGUAAAUGGGAGGGGGGAUGUAGAGAAUAGCGGGUCACUAAGGAGGGAGGUGUGUGGUGGGGGGUUCAGACCCCUGCACCGUUGGCCACUCGAGAGGGGCUUUUUGGUGCGCACAGGCUGGCAGACGCUGAGCCUGCUGCACAUGUGCAGAAGUGCUCCUCUCUGAGUGCAAUGGCCCUUGAACCCUGAGGCCACCAGAUGUCCUCAGAGUGGAGAUGCCGGGCAGUGCAACGCGAGGAGUUCAAAAGGGAGGGGGCACUGGAGAGCAGGGGCUGGUUGUGCUAUCUCCCACAGGAAGCCCAGAGAAAGCAUCCAGCAUGGAGGGGCAGACAGGACUGAGAUGGAGUUUCCACGACCAAGGCAAAGGAGUCAGAUGGGAGGAGGAUUCGAAGGAGCCCAGACUGCUACUCACAACCAGGCACUUUUGAGCAGUGUCCUUGGUCUAUCUGGAAACAUGUGAGUCUAGAGAGCCAGUCUUCAGAAAGAGUCACUGAACACUGUACCAAAGCUCUCUCCUGGCAGGCAACCACUUCAUGUUGGUGACCGACCACGCACCCCUGAAGUGGAUCCAGAAUAUGAAAGACACCAAUGCACGAAUACUACGCUGAUACCUAAGCCUACAACCCUAUUCUUUUGAAAUAAGGCACAAGCCAAGUAGAGACAACCAGAAUGCAGAUUGCCUAUCACGAGUGCUGGAGACGAAGCAGGAAAGAUUAGGGCCUUGAGAAGUGAUCUGAAGACAAAGAAUGAUAUCCUUCUUUGAGACCCAUGGACAAGAUGCACUAGGUGGUGUAGCAGGGAUGAAGACUGUAUAACAUGGAAUCCUGUAAAGAACAUUUCCUUGAGCAGGCUAAUGGAGAUAAUAUCAUUACGAAAUAUAAAACACUGUUUAAAAGCAGCCUACUAUAUCUGCUGGUACCACCUAAUUUUUUAACACUGAAACAGCUUUAGCCUACAGUUAGUGUGUGUGGAAGAGGGCUGCAUCUCAGCAGAUUUUAUCGGUCUGGAAUAAAGCAGUGAACCAGAACUAGGUCUGCUGAGGACCUGGUGAUGUCUUAAAAGCACUUGCAGGCAUUUGUGACAAGAGAAGAUUUUCCUUUUGUGAACAGCAAUAAAAAGGAAGAAGUCGCCCCACAGGGAAUUCUUGCAGUUGAAGGCAACGGGGACACAAUAUUGAACCUGAAAAGAAGGCUUAUUUUGGCCACAUGAAGUAGCUACCUCUGAUCUAAAAUCUGACUUCGUGUUGUGUUCAAAGAAAAAUAAGAAAAUGGUUAUAAUGUAGUUGGCAUUGAUUCCCGUGAAGAUACAGCUGAUUUUGCUUACAAUCUAAACAGAGAAUAGCAUUUUCUUUUAUGGGAAUGGAGGGUGUAGUAGUUCUUAGGCCUUAAAAUCCCAGCAUAGCCAAAACAAAGCACUAGGAAUGAGGAACACUCACCUUUGUGAACAGUGGGAAGUAAGAUGAUAUAACAACACCCUUAGAUUCAACAGCGUAGUGCCACAUGGGCCAAGAAGAGACUGAAUAAAAAAGCCUUUGGAGCAAUGCUUCUAGUGAGCAUGAAAAAGAUAAUAGAUAUCUAAACAAAGAAGUGUAGAAUGGUGUAGAUUUAGACUAUAAGUCAAAAUAAUGUGACCUCCAUGUGAUCUAUAAACACGGCAUCUUAACAUAUAAUGGGUGUUAACCUUAAGGGCAAUAUAUGGAGCUUGUCCUUUAUUCAGUUAAACAAAGAAGCAAGUAAUUGGAGAGGCCACCUCUUCAUAUGGAAAAGGUUGGCACAUUUGAUGGAAAAAGAAAAUAUACAGGCCCGUACUCCGGAAGUGUGUGAAGGGUGUGGAUGCACCCCUCGCCGCAUGGUCCUCCAAAUACGCAUGAGACUUAGGCAGCAUAGUACCCCAGACUCCUUCCACCUGUGCUCCAGAUGGCUAGGGAAAGGCAAGAGUGGCGUGUUGCCCCAGCCUCCCUCCCCAGUGCUCUGGCCAGCCGGGGGAAGCCUGAGACUGAUUUCCCUACCCCAUAGGAGUGAAGCUGGAGAUGGCGCUGAGCCAUGGGGGAGGGGAGCCAGCCACCAGUCCCUCCCAUGUCUUACACUCCCCCACAGAAAUUCCUGCUUACAGGCUUGAUUUUGUACCAUGUUAAUUUCCCUUUAUCCCCAGUAAAUUGAGGGUUGGUUAGUUAGUUAAUUAGUUUGUUUACUUUAAAUAUAUGUUUUAAUACUUUUGAUGUCUGAGAUUUAACAAUUAAUUGCAAUUAUUUCAUACCUGUGUCUAUAAUUAUAGAGUACCAUGUGGAUUAAAUAGAGAUUGCUUUGCUUAAAAGGAAAAAUAUUUAAAUGUCCUAACAACCAAAUUAGGGAUGAAGAAAAAACAUCUCAGAAGUUGCAUGGCUUAAUUCAACUUUUGCCCUGCUAUGUAGAUGUGCCCCUAGGGGCUUGAUCAUAUUAUCCCAUUCUUCUAUUCCAUCACUUGUUUUCUAUCUUCACUUUUAUGGCUCUGCACAGACUCACUGUGCCCACUUUUCUGCCCAUCUCUUCCAAUACAUCAUUGCUCAUUUACUGUGUUCUGCCUUUCUUACAGUCUGAAUGAACCUUGAUUUCCUCUCACAUUUGUGUCUCUCUUUCCUUCUUCCUGGGUCAGUGCCUUUCUACCUCCUAUGCACCAAAGCACCUUGCUCAUUAUCACCUAGUUGUUAGGGCAGAGUCUGCCUCUAACUUUGCCAAAUCACUUCACCUUUCUGUGGCCCUGUUUACCGAUCUAUAAAAAUACCAAUGCCAGCAUUUACUCUCCUUAAUUAAAGAGCUUUGAGCCUGUGGAUUGAAAGUGCUAUGUAAAAGAUAAAUAUUAUUUUCAGAGUCCACCAUAAAGAAGACUAGAGCCUGUACCUUCUGAAUAAAAAGUGUCCAACAUUUAUAGGUUUUUAAGUUAAGGGCCAGUUAUGCUGGCUGGUACACAGGUGCCAACAGCCAUUGUAAUUAGGUAUUGUAAGCAAUCAAAUGUAAAGAAGGGCAGAACUGAGUCCAGACUGUGUAAUUAGCAUUUUCUUAAGCUAUUUGUUUUGUGAGUGUAGCUCCAUGGUUACUCUAGUUUUCAAUAAGGGAGAUCCAUUUUAAAAUAACACUGAUCUAUGUGAAGUGUGUUCCUUGUUUUCAAAGGAAUAAAUUUAUCAACAGCAAAUAGCAAUGUCUUUAGCUGUGUGUGCUGAUGAGAUUCCACUUCAUGCUGCUAGGCAAGUGCAUUCACUUUUCACCUGCUGGGAAUAAUGUGAAUGAGCUCAUCUCAUAAAUGAAAGACCAAUAUCAAUAAGGGCAUGAUUCAGCUAAAAAAAACCCCCCCCGCCCCUUAGACACAGCCUCACUGAGUUGUUUCCACUUCCAAAUAUAACCAAGCAAUGCUAUUUUAACACUUCAUUCCGAAGACUGGAGUCCUGAAUUGAUCCUUGGUAGGUAUUUUAAAUCCUUGACUGUAUGUGUAAUCUGGGCCUUUAACAGUGACUUUCAGAAAUUUCACUGAAUUUAUCUGCAAAAUCCACUGUUUUUAUUUCUUUAAGGAGGCUACUGUACUAAUUGCCAUUCCACGGCCACACUGAGAACUAACGAUUUCUGAGGGACAAUGUGAUUGCAUGGAUUUAUAUUUAGAUAAAUGCCUCUUACCUCUAGGGCAUAUGUUCCAAAGUUUUGCUGAAAUUUAUUACCAUGUAGAAUCAGGCUUUUGUGGGUCAUAACUGAGAACACCAGAAUCAGGUCACACUGCUCAGAAAGAAGGCAAAUGCACCCCAAAAUACGAUGGGUAAUUUUGCCAAAUGAUAAAUCAAAGCCGUCACAAAAAGCAAACUUCUGUCUCACAACACUAAUAAAAAAUCAGAAAGACAGUUUCCUGAAACAUUCCAGUCUUUCUACACCCCCCCCUCCCCACCGCCCCACAACACUGGAUUUAAAGACAAGUGGCUCUUUAAAACCAGUCUAAUCAAAACCAGUUUUUCUGAUCCCAAAGGACCAACUGCAUACCCAGAUCAAUGUACAACUCAGAUCUUACCCAAAAAUCAUGCUGUUGCCAAUCCUUUAGUAUCUAAACUCUAAAAGCUUAUUUAUAGAAAGAAAGGUGAAAGCUGAAAUUGGUUAAAGGAAUCAAAUACAUACAAUAAUUGCAGUUUUGGGUUUACUGCUUGUAUCAGUGAUGGAAUAAACUGCUGGCUUAAGCCAUGUCUCUGGUUGUUUCCAAAUGAUUGGAAGAACCUCAGUCCCUUUGUUAAAAUGCUGCUACAGGUUGCACCUCCCUCGUCUGGCUCCCUCUGGACAUGACUAGUUCUGGAUGAGGGAUUUUUCCAGACUGGGGAAGUCAUUUCAGGCCCCCUGCUGCUGGCCUCUUCCCUUCCCUUCCUGUCCUCUCCUCCCCCCGCUACCCUCCAUCACAUGGUUUCCUGGCUCCCCCUCAGCCCAGUUGAGCUAUACACUAUCUCCCAUCCAUCCUGCUUGCAACCCAAAUGAACCGUAUGCCAGCUCCUGCACCUCCAAGCCCAACUGAGCUGUGUGCUGGCUCCCAGCCCUCCUCCCCCAUCACAGCCCAGUUAAGCCGCUCGCCAGCGCCUGGGCUCCCACUCCCCAGAAGCACACUGGGACUCUCUGAUCUUGGAACAUCUCUUGUCAUGCCGGACCAUGGAUGGUGCCGGACCAGAGAAUGCUGAAUUUAGAAGUGCAACCUAUAGUAUAAAUCUAUAGUGCAGACAGAGGUUUGAGCAGGAAAGAGGCUGGAUUAGGAAAGAGGCACAAUGAAGGUGUUUCCAAGGCCUUUUAAAGCUAGAGUCUGCGUGAAUACAAAUGUCUACCCAUGGAUGUGGAUAUCUGUGGCUAGACAUCAAUAUCCACAGGGUUCUCCUCCCAAGAGACACUGCAGCCAACGGAGAGGAAAGUGGUCUAGACACUCCCAGGAGCCAGGGUCCUGUGCCAGCAUCUCCCCCCGGUGGUUUGAUUUGGUAAAAGUGUCUCAGUCAAUCUAGCUCUUGAAACACAGUUGCCAACCUGCAAGUUCAUAUGAAGUGUACAGUGUACUCCAGGAAAAAUAAAAUGCUAAUUAGGGACAGAGCUUUGGUGUUUUAUUCCUGCCAUUUAUUUCAAUAGAAUAUGUCUGCUCAAGGUGAAUAGUAAGGUCUGGUUAUGCAGAGGGUGGGCAUUCUUCUUCCAAAGUAGAAACGCUCUUGCAAACUGGAGAGGGAAAUUUGCUCCAUCAGCUAUGGUGACUUUGGGCAAUAAAUAUCUUUCUGGAAAACUCAAUGAUUUAGUUUUAACCUUGGAUCUUUUCUCUGGUGACAGUCUAAUCAGGUUGCUUAAUGAGAUAGUCGAAUAGCACGUGUGAAGUCAGGAAGAGUUUUUUACACUUCCUUCCAUAAGCUAGCACACAGCUGAGCCCCAAGCCUGCAAUUCACAUUGUGACUAGUCCCAAUGAAGUUAAUAGAACUACUCUUGUUAUAUAGAAUCCAUCUUUGUAGGAUCAGGUCCAGCAUUAGGUGUGAUAAAGAUGUGUUUGUCAUAUUUUGAAGCAUCAAGUGCUGAUUUCUGCUAGAAGCAGAGUACAAAUGGACCAAUUGUCUGAUCUCAUGCAACAAUUUCUCCAUUACUGAAGAUGAUUAUAUUGCAUCUAAAUCAAACAGCAGGAGAUCCUGAAAAUAUAAAUAUAUUGAAAAAGAAAUAGGUUUUAGGAACCCAGAGAAAGAAACAAAAGAUACGCUAUAUCUGUUUUCCCAAGCAUUUUCAGGUGAAGAUUUCUCAGUGGACAGAUGGUGAGCUGGGAAAAGCUGAGUUUCAAGGUGGAGUGCAUUUUUAGUGGUAGACUUGAUUCUACUUGUAUUGUGUGUGGAUUUUAUUCAUGUAUUCUUUGCUUUGAAUAGGGGUGUAUUAUUUAGCUAACUAAACAGGUGACCAAGAUUACCAAAUUUGAUUAAUAGACCUGAGUGGAAACACAUUCUUUCUUUCCUUCCCAAAAUAUUAGUACAUUCCUGUUGUCUUAACGUUACUGCUACUGCUUUACAUUUGAUAGAAUAGUCUUAGAAUGUCAAAUAUCAAAUGACAACAUGCUCCAAAAAGAAUAAAUUUUCUAUUAAUUCCCAGGCCCAUAAAGUAGAAAUUCAAAUCUAUGGUUAUUAGAAUAUAUAUAACUUCAGUCAGUAAAACAGAUGCUAUUUAUUAUCUAUGGAACACUAUAGGUGUACACAGGGGUUUCAAUGUUAAAACACUAACAAUAUUAAUUCUAUAGCUAUGUCAUAUGUGCAGGGUAAUAUCUUUGGGCUCUCCAUGAUGGUAGAGUUCUCAAAUUAAACUGGGGUAUCCUGUAAACAUAUUUUACUAAAUAUAUACAUUUGUCAUGCUUCCCUCCCCCCCUCAAUUUUAUAAAACAAGCCACAUCUUACUGUCAGAUAUACCAGUUGUCCUAGUCUGAGAACUAAAAGCUACAGCAUUGAGGCCCACAUUAUUCUUAGCGAAUAUUUAUAUAAUCCAGUGACAUGUCAAGGACACACAAUCCUUUUUUUAGCAGGAACAAAACCAUUACCAGUUGGCUCAAGUCUCUGCCAAUGUCAAUAUGUAGGAAGAAUUUACAAUAGAGAAACACACCAUCCAAGGAAAGGAAUGAGGUCAUGAACAUUUUCUAAUAAAAUUAUCACUGGAGUGCCAAAAGGGGUUGAGGGAAGACCUAGCCUGGUAGUAAUCACAUCCCAUUCCUUCUUCCAAUUUCCAUAUCCCUCUGCUGAUUAAUCAUGUCUGAUUAAUCAAUUCUUCUUAGUGAGUGUGAGGAUAAGUACAGAAUAGAGUUUUAAAGAGGGUGUAAGGGAAGGAUGGGGAAUGUUCAGAGUCCUUAAAAGGAUAAAAAAAAAUUUACCAAGACACAUGGCAAGAUUUUAAAGAGGUAAUUUUUCAUCACACACAAUCAUUUUGGAAAUGUUGCUUGGUAUGGCAUCCUGGAAAAACUAAGCAUUCUUACUGUUACGGAGGUUGCUCUUCUCACUGUUAAGGUGCCGUUUUGUGGCCUGUCUGGAGAUUAGAUCCCCACUGGUGUGACAUCUCCUCUUGUAGUUUCUUAGCCCCAUGUCUCAGUCUCUGUGGCUUUUCCUCUACCCCUCAACUGGUCAUGCUUUCUCUUCAUAGCUUGGCCCUCUGGUCAGGUCACUAUGGUUUUCCCAUCAUUCAAGUUAUCAAAGUCUGUCUAAACCAACUGUGUCAGGCAGUCUACAGCCCUAUCUAUGCCAUUCCCCCAGUGGCUGAUAGGGGACAUCAGGUCUGUUGUUUGCACUGCAUGCCAGCCUAGGGGCUCUACAGUCAGCAGCUAAUGGACAUGCCAUCUUACCUUUGCUGUGUUUUCCCUAGGCUUCUUCCUACUUCUUUUUCUCAAACUUGAGAGUGACUACUCCCCCACUACAGACCCUUUCCUCGGCCCUCUCCCUACCUUUAUACAGACCCUUCCUCUUCUCAAUCAUUUGAGCAUCAAGUUCACCAAUGGCAAUAUUUGAGCUUAUACCUCACCUACUUCAUCCUGUCAAGUAGCCCCAUCUGAGCCAUUCUAUCCCCUUCAAGGGCGGUAUGUGAUGAACACUUUAUCACACUACCUAAUUAAACAAUUAGUCUUAAAUAAUGUCCUACAUGCCAACACCCAACCCAGCAUGUAUGUCUUUUAAGACCUCAAGGGAAGUAUUGUUGUUCUGUGAAUACUUCGGUUCUAAUCUAGAACGCCCUUUGGCACUUGCUUAACUUUAAGCACUUAAGUAAGUCCAUUCACUUCAGUGGGGCUACUCAUACUCACAUUUUAAAAUUUAAGCAAGUGCUUUAGUGGUUUAUUAGAUUGGUACUUUGCUCACUUUGAUUCCCUUGUGAGCAACCUAUUUACUUUAACUACUUUUAUGGUUCCAUUCCUAUGCAACUGAAUGACUCACACCCUUUAAGGUGUGUAUCCUCACAAUACCCCAGUGAAGUAGAGAAGUUCUAUUAUCCUCAUUUCACUGAUGGGGAACUGAAACUCGUUUGGAUUUUGCCAUCUAUAUUAAGAUAAGUAUUAGUCAAAGCUUGCAAAAAACUACACUACAAUCUUAGACUAGAAAGCUGGGUUCAACAUUAAUAUUUAUCUUGAUGGUAUUUUUGGACCACUUUCAGAUCUCUUCCUCUGGAUAACCAGAAAAAGAUGUGGCCAAACUGGGCAUAAAAUUCUUCCAUUUGCUCAAGGAUUCAUAUUCCACAAGUCUUCCAUGUCCAGAACAACAAAAUAGACACUUAAAGUGGAACUUGUGGGUUUGGGCAUAAAAUGGGCAUUUUAAUGAAAUUCUCUGACCUGAUUGCCAUACACGUUAUACAGGAAUAACUGGGCAGGAAUAAUUUCUGAAUCUUAUCAGAGGCUUGGGUGGACAGAUGAGUACACAUUUGUUUUUCAGUGUUCUUGUCUCCAUGACAAAAAUGAAUAGAGCCUUUAGUGAAUAAAUUUGUGCACUGGAGAGGAGACUUGGAGACAGCUGAGAUAUGAAGAGCAAUGUCUAAUGAUCCCACAAAUAACUUUAUCAUGUUGGAAUCCCCCUGGAUCUUUGGCAAUGGAUUACAUUUAUCACAUGCUGAAUCUCUUACUCAUGGCAAUUUUCUAAAGUUACUGACCUUUCUGCUAAUUUGCUCUGUUGAAGGAGGGAAAAAGUCCCUAGAGUUUGCAAUUUGGCUCAACAACCCCUUGGGGUUUUAAGCAACCUUCUAACAUCUAAACAUGACUUACUUUUAAUAAAUGUUCUCGGUGCUGUCUCUGAAAAUAGGACCAGGGAAACAGACACAGACUCUCAAACCCACAGGGAACUUUACAAAUAAUAAUAAAUACAGAAAGGUGACAGGAACACAGGAAGAAAAGAAACCAGUUAGAAAGUAGAUUGGACAAAGCAAUAAAUAUUAAAAAUGGACUAGAGUACUUUUUAGUUUCUGAAUUCAGGUGGUAUAAAACAGGAUUAAAACAUAUCAGUUAUAAAAUAAACAGAUGCUUUAGGAUUCUAAUAAAUAACUAAUGCUGCUAGAAUUGUAGCUGUCUGUAAUGAGAUAUAUACAGUUAUAGAUAGGGAUGUCAACGUGAAGGAGGGUGUGAUUUAAAUAAAGCACUUCAAUGAAUUAGGGGAGAGAGACAAAGUUGUUGGAAGAUCAUGCUGUUUUUCUUAUUGCAAUAAAGUUCUUUUUUGUGUGUUGGAAGAAUGAGGUUCUUAUA